GCAAGGGACUGAAGAGAAGUGGAUUUAGAAUGUUAUGCACACUGUUCCUUGUCAUUGUAGAAGUGGAGGUGGUGCUUGAAAGUUUGUUUUCUGAGACUUGAAUGCAGAAGAGGAGAUAUGGAAGAGGUUAUUACAAACUAUUGAGUAGAUUUCCAUGUGCUAUAAGCUUUGCCACAAUUUGCCUGAUGUCAUCACCAGCUGAUUGGAUGGAAUCCCAGCUUUUACCUCAGAGGAAUGUUUGCAGACAUCAGCUUCCACAAGUGUAGAAGAAGAGAGAUGGACGAUCGAGAGGGAAAAGAAAGAAGGAGAAUUGGUUCCAGUCGAGGGAAGCUGGCCUCCUGCUAGAGCCACAGGUCAUGUGCACCAUCAGCACAUUCAGCAUAGCACACAGGGCUUCCAGCAGCAGUUGUCGCCUGUGCAGACAGCCCUUCACAGUCUCAAGUGCUGAUGGAUAAUUGUCAGGCAGAUUAUAGAUAAGGAAGAAAGUAUGAGGCCAGUGGCUUUCUGUGGACCAGUCGUAGCUGGCUGGUCAGGCAACCAGAUUGCUGGAAUCACAGUGCACACACCGAUAAGCCCCUUAAUUCCAAAGGAUGCUGGCUGCUGGGCGCUGGCCACAUCAUGUACAGAGGGAAGUUGCUCCCAAAGCCCCUCUCCCAGGAAGGACAGGAGGAUAGGAAGGGAGCUCCUGGGUGUGGGGACUCGGCUGUAUCAGCCAUCACCUCCCACAGUGUAGACUUCAAUCUCUUCUCCUUUGCUGUGAUUUUACACAGACUCAUUUAUCUUCAUUUUAAUAAAAGAUGCUGUUAUCUCAUGCCCCCACCUCUUAACAUUUCUUUGCUUUGCAGUGAAACUUUUCCAAAGGAUUUCCUGGGACCGCCUGCCUCUAUUUCUUCAAUUCACAAUAUACCUGGGUUCUAUCCCCAGCCCACGCCCCUUCAUGGUUGCUGCUUUUUGACACCUAUAUCUUACCGGAGGUGCCCACAGUCUUUGACCUUACCCACCAUAUUUCCAGUUUAGAAUGCUCACUUUCUUAACAUCUGUGAUACUUGCCUCUGGGGCCUGCCCCCUCCAUCAGACCCUGCAGCCCCCUCCAUCAGACCCUGCAGCUGCAUGAAGCAAGGAAGAACAGUCUUCAUUCAAUACUCAUGGCACCUGGCAGUGUCUGAAUCAUAGUGAAACCCCCUGGAGGAAGGAACGAGUGAACACCUAGAUUCUUCCAGGUGGAAGACCUGGAUUCCAUUCUCUGAGAGGCGAUAACGUUUUGAACAGAAGCAGGGGACUGUGUCAUGCCUUAAAUUCCCCUGGACAGCAUCCAAGCUCUUAAAAUUUUAGUUGGAAAUCUUCAAAAUGCUUUGUGAAAAGCGGAUCCUGGUUCUGUGACUCUCCUGAGUAAUAGGAAGUAGAUUUCGUCAAUUCUGGAAGCGCCAUGGCUAAGAGCCACGCUUGGGAAUCAGAGGAGAAGGUUUUAACCUCAGCUCCUCCAAGUAGUUGAUGGUGACCUAGACAAAGGAGAGGAGCCCGGCUCUCACAUCUGUUAUUGGUGAAAGUAACAUCCACCUGCAAAUACUGACAUAAUACCCACCUGCUAUUAUUAAGCUCAAUGACAUGAGAUUGUGUACACCCAAUUUUUCUCUCCUGUGACAUGUGAGUCCCUAAAAGAUUAUGACGCUAUGAACAAUCAUGUAAUAAGAACCACAGAGCUCAAGGGAAAAACAGAGUUAUUGGUACAACCCUCAAACCCUUCGUCACUGACGCAUUUAGAGAAAAACAGAUAGGAACUUAAUAAAAACGGUGGCGCAGUUUUACACAUCGAAUGUGACUCAGAAAUAAAGGACUUUAAUACAUCUGGCUUUUGACCUUGAAAAAAACCUGAAUUUUGUAUAUCCUGAGGGAUGGAGAACUGGGGAACAAGAGGCGGGUUCAGGAUGCAAAGUCCUAAUGCAGCAUGUGGAUGGGAGCGUAUGGCUCAUGACACAGGUCAUGGGCUGGGUAGCUGGUAGAUGCCUAAGGUGUGUUUCAUUGCAUUUUGCAUAUUUCUGUAUAUCUCUGUUCAUGUGGAUGCAGUUUCCUUUGUUUAUAUGGCCUUUCCUGUGGACACAAUUCCGCUAAGCAAACCCAGAAUCUCUGUUAUGCUCGAGCUGUUCCGUGAUCUAUCGACUGUGCUGGAAGACAUUCGUGUGGUAAAAAUAAGUCUUGCAUCAGAACUGGCAGUGAGGAAAGCACUCGAUGCCCCAGGCCUGCAGUAAACAUCCAAUAAGUGGCUGCCAUUUCCCUUUCUUUUACUUUCCCGUAAAGUCCGAUCUUCUCAAGGACAGGCACUGGGUGUUGUCUGCCUUUGUGCCCCCAGUGACUGGUACCCAUUAGCCACUCAGUCAGUACCUCUGCGGCAGGGGCUGCUGUGCUUGACAGAGGCUCAACCAAAACAGAAAAUGCAGCAACUCCGCCGACUAAUGACCCAUAGCUUGAGCGGGCCCACAUCCGGCUGACUUAAGGCUGAACCCCAAGUAGUGACCUCGCCGGGAGCUGGCCCUGCAGGUGGAGAGACGAGGAAUUCUCACAGUAGGACGUGGAGGGCGCUAGGCAAGAGAAGUGUCCAUGAAGUGGCUCCCCAGGGGACAACGAGACAUUUCAGAGACCUGACAGUGUCACAAAUCUGGUAAAGGCCAGAUCCAGGACUUGAUCUUGGGCAGAACUGGCUCCAAGCCUUUUCUUUCCUGUCACCAUGUACCAACGCCUAUGACAAAAUCAGUCCUAUUGACAAGGUGGAAGAAAAAGGAGCUCAGAGAAGGAAGGUGACUUGCACAAGGACACACAGGAGGAGGUGCAGGAUCACUAGCUCUGUGCGCCUCCGUUAGAGCAGGGCCAGGGGAGUACCUGCUGCCUGACCUGCAGGGUGGCAGACAGUGUACGAGGGAGUGGACACUUGACAUUCGCGCUGCUGGCUGUUGGCAGAGGGGCCCUCACAGUUAUCAGGGAAUAACAUCGCUCUGCUCUUCCACUAAUAGAAGCGUAAAUAUGGCCCUUCUCUGCCGUGAGCAAUUUCCUUGGCUCUGCUGACAUAAUGGGAAAUAUCCUCAGUGAGAAAAUUAACUAUUGGUGUCACAGGGCUAUAAGAGCAACAAAGAGCAUCGCACCCUUCAUGGCCACCCCCUCCUCCAGCAUCUCCAUCUUUCUUCAGGCUGGCGUGGAGCCCUGCACAGCGGCCCAGGAUCCCAGCUCUGAAAGGAGAGAUCUUUGAAAUGUCUGAGACUCAGUUUUGUAAGAUGAGUCACGCAUUCACUGAUUCGACACAUUACUCUUUGAAACAGCAUGAGGUUUUACUGAGAGCUCUGGACUCCCAUUUUGGAGCUCAAGUCUGGGCUCUGCCUCCUAGUCGCUGUGAACCUGGGGAGGUUCCUUCAUCCCUCUGAGCUCCUGGUUCCUCUGGACCUGUUUCUUCAUCCCUAAAAUGAAGAUCGUCAUGUCAGCAUCCUCCUGAAAAUACCUCCUUUACAGGCUUCUACUGAGGAUGCAGUGUGGCGGCACCUGAGUCUAGUGCAAACAGCUUUCGGACACUCAACAACGUGAUUGUGUAUUCAUUCCUGGGGGGACGGGUCCCAGAGCUAGUGCUCAAGGAUGAAGAAGCAGCAGUAGGGACAGCCCCGUCCUUGUGGGGUCCAUUCUUGGGCACAAGAAGCCAUGUGCCUGACUCCCCAGCCUGUAUCUCAGAGCAGAGUCACCUUUUCGAGUGUGAAGGGUGUUUUCAAAAGUCUGUUAUUUAGUAUCCAAGUAUUGAAAAGAAUACAAGACUGUUGGGUAUUAAUAAAAAUUUAAAA